AUGGGGAUGGGAUUCCUACAGCAGCUAAUCAGCCGGUGCCGGCGCCGGCCGCGAGUGCAGACGCACAGAUCUGCUCGAGCGUGGUGUGGUUGGCAGAAGGAAGAACUCGUCGCCGCCCUCGCAGGUCUCCACGGGAAGGCCAGCCCACAAGCUCCUCGGUGGUUAAAGAGGUUAGUGCGCAACAUGGACAGGAAAUGUGCUAAGGAACUUUCUGCAGAACGGCUGCUUCUUCAGUGCCCAAGCUUGAAAGAUGUUCAUGUCUAUCGAUGUUGUGAUAUGUUGAUCGGAGCAAUCAGAAACGAGGUGAGCCGUGGAUCAGGUUCUCGAUUUCUGUCUGGUCUGUGGCUCAGAAAAGUCGAUGCUCCAUGGAUUCAAUGCAAGGUGAGUCUGUUCUACCCCAACGCGGCCGUCAUUUUGGAACUUCAGAAGCAAGGGAGGGAGUGGACGAACACACGACCGAAAGCGAUGGAUUUCCUCCUGCAAUCAGGAGGUUGGGGAGAGUCUAGUGCUGGAAGGUCGCCGGCACAUGGCACCAGGCGGACAGUGGUCAAGGUGAUGCUGCAGGAGGCCAUGGGUGUGAGCGCCAAAGGGCGGAUCUGCGGCGUUGCUGAAGCGGCGGAAGUGACAAGGGGCAGCUCGCCUCUCACUUCCGAGCUGUCGACGGGGAAGAUGAAUCUUCAGGUUCCUCGUUGGAACAAGAGGUCAUACAGUUUGGUUGAAUUUCUGGGUGUCCAUGGUGUGAGACGAAUUGGAAAUUCGCUUUACGUAGGUGGAUGGCUUGAAUCAUUCACUGCAGGCCGGCGGCUCCCCAGCUGCGGUAUCCAAAUCCAUUUCCAGUCAGCGGGGUGCUCCAGCGCACGCGAAUCCAUUCGAGCGAUGGAGUUCCAAAUGCAGCUAAUUAGAAGGUAUCCUCUGGUGGAGGAGAUGUGUGAAUUACAGACCGCCGUGUUGGGAAAACAGAAGAGCCCGCUGCAGCAGUCUAAACUAUCAACUGAUCAAAAUCGAGCAGCGGAGGUCGCAAUCAAGAGUGUGAUGCUUGUUGGUGUGUCGACGGCUGGGGCACAAGAGAACUACGUACUUACCCGGAUCUCGGUGAUGUGCCAAAGCAGCCUCGGAAGCCGGCGAGUUGCAAAAAUUGUGGUGUGGUGGGGCACCAAAGGAACAAUUUUACGAAAGCGAUGGAGCUGA
rnacentral:rRNA from 1 species